rnacentral:rRNA from 1 species
GGGUCAGUAGGCUGGUCGUGCCACCGGUACGUACUGGUCUCACUGAUUCCUCCUUCCUGAAGAACCUUAAUGCCAUUAAUUUGGUGUUGCGGGGAAAAAGGACUGUUACUUUGAAAAAAUUAGAGUGUUUAAAGCAAGCUAACGCUUGAAUACAUUAGCAUGGAAUAAUGAAAUAGGACGAUCGAUCCUAUUUUGUUGGUUUCUAUGAUUGACGUA